CAGCAGCCGCGGUAAUACAGAGGGUGCGAGCGUUAAUCGGAUUUACUGGGCGUAAAGCGUGCGUAGGCGGCUUUUUAAGUCGGAUGUGAAAUCCCUGAGCUUAACUUAGGAAUUGCAUUCGAUACUGGGAAGCUAGAGUAUGGGAGAGGAUGGUAGAAUUCCAGGUGUAGCGGUGAAAUGCGUAGAGAUCUGGAGGAAUACCGAUGGCGAAGGCAGCCAUCUGGCCUAAUACUGACGCUGAGGUACGAAAGCAUGGGGAGCAAACAGGAUUAGAUACCCCUGUAGUCCCUGUCUCUUAUAA
rnacentral:rRNA from 1 species